ensembl:lncRNA DRAIC downregulated RNA in cancer, inhibitor of cell invasion and migration
AUGCCGGAGAACUUUGUCUUCAAACCCCACAGCCUUCUCUUUGCGCUGAGGGCAGGGCUACUGGUCGAUGCAGGAGGAGGAGGCCUUGGAGAGGUCCCUCUGAUGAGGAAGCCCAUCCGAGCGGCUCUCAUAGGCCACACACUUGAAACGAAGUGCGCGUCUCCACUUGAACGGUAAAAUCUCGGUGCUGACCCAAGGCUCUGAUGAUGGAAUAAAAAGGCCUACCUCAUUGGGCUCGUGUGGGUGAGGAGAACUGAAGAGUCUGAGAGCGCGGCACGAGCCAGAGGCUACGGAAAACACUGCCCUCCUACACUCCACCUUGGAGAGACCCAGAAAAGAACAAGCUUCAUUUGUAAAAAAGGAAAACAACUCAGGCAAUGGGGGUGGCUUAAAGGCACUCUACAGUGUGCAGAUGCCUUCCACUUCUUCCAUCUGCCCUGUCUCUCCAAGAACCCCUAUGGCCCCGGUCUCAGAACAGAGCUGAGUGCAGAAAUGAAAAUCUAUGGCUCUGUGUUCCAAAACGAUGAAGAAUUUCAAGAUGGUGGCAGUGGUAAAAUCUUUCUCCAGGAAAAAUCUGUCCUUGGCCCAAUGUGUAAACACUUGCUGAGGAACUUGGAAUAACUUGCAGUGUCUUGCAGUAUUGUGAAACCAGCAACUUGUUCACAAUUCUUCUGAAUUUCUUGGGAAAUUUGAAGUGGAGUACCUGUACCAACAUGAAAUGACACGAAUUUAAGUGACGCUCAACAACGAAAAGCAAAAAGAACCAAAGAGGAAGCAACUGAAACAACAUCUGGAUGUAUUUAAAAAUAUACAAUGCCUCCAAAAUCAGGUGUCAUUAAUGAAAAUUCUGAAGAAAUGCCACCGGACAUAGCCAACGCACCUACGCUGUUGUUAUUCAUUUCCUGCUUUUCACAGAAAACAAUUUUGUUGCAUGGAAGAUCGUGAACUUCAAAGGGCAGAGGGGAAACUGUCCCUUGGCCUCUACCCCUCCAAGGCCCCACUUUUUUGUCAACACUCCUUGGACGCAGCAGAAGUAUGAACAUAAUAUGGUCCUGAAUGAGGCUGAGUCUUUGGGCGCAGAAGACCCGGGUUAAUAAAAAUAGGAAGGUAAGAAAAGAAAAGAAAAAUCAAGACACAUCAUAGGACUAAAUUCCUAUUAUUUAUCCACUCAGGAUUGACCACCCCUUUGGGCCAGAUAGUUGUACCCCCAUGUACCAGGUGGGCACAUGAAGACACAAGAAGUGCUGUGAUGGUUCAUUUUGCACGUCACCUUGCGUGGAGUAUGCCAACUCAUUGUUUGGUCAAACACUAGUCUGGACAUGGUGGUAAAGGUAUUUUUUAGAUGAGAUUAACACUUAAAUCAGUAAAGCAGGUUACCCACCAUACUACGGGUGGGCCCUGUCCAAUCAGUUGAAGGCAUUAAGAACAAAGAUUGAGGUUUCCUAAAGAAGAUGGAAUUCUCCUUGAGACUACAACAUAGAAACCCUAUCUGAGUUUCCAGCCUGUUGCCCUGUGGAAUUCAAACUCAGGACUCCGGUCUAUGACAUUAACCCUCACUUAACUUUUCAGCCUGCCAGCCUGCCCUAUGGAUUUCGGACUUGCCAGCCACACAAUUCCUUAAAAUAAAUCUCUCCGUCUC